rnacentral:lncRNA from 1 species
GGCACCGCACAGCGCGCCUAGCCCUACCUCAGCCCCACCCCAGCCCCAGGUCACGACCAAGACCAGCGUCGCGCACCAGCCGCGGGCGAGGCUCGCCGCUUGACACGGCGCCUCUGCCCCGGCGUGCUCCCCUGCCUAUGCAGCCAGCGCCCCCCGCCCAGCGCGACGUGCGCGUGUGCGCAUUCCCCACUGCGCUGUGCGUAGUUGCCCGCCCGUCGUGCUGUUUCCUUCGGCCCCGCGCGCAGGCGCUCCGCGUACGUGCAGAGGAGUCUCCCGCGCGCACGCCGUCGAACACCUGCACCCGCGCACCGAAGCUCCGUUGAGCCACCAUCUGCACCACCUUCGUUCGAUCUCAGUCCAAGCCUCUGUAACGCCCUGAAUUUGGGGGUAAAAUUUUUUCUUCUUUUCUCUCACCAAAUUCGGGCGUUACUCUCUUUUCUCUUUCCCCUUUUGCUCUUUCUUCCCAAUUUCAAACCAGUAUAGCGGCAGGUGUCCGUGUCAUGUAUAAACCAAAACCUAAGUGUCAUGGGUGUUGCAUCAUGCCGAAGCGCAUUUCUUUGUCUGAUGAUGAGUGUUCGUCUCGUUCUGUUCCGGAUUUCGGUUCGCGAUUUAAUUCCGUUUAGUGGUCCGCGCUUGUCGUGGGUUUUCGAUCCGCGAAGUGGCCCGGCCCAGCCCAAUCUAGUCCAGCCCAGCCGGCCCGGCCCGCCCCGUCCUGCGCGCCCCUGGCGCCCAAAACCCCCCCAUGCGCCCCCCCUCCUCUCUCUCUCUCAUUUGGAUCUCCCGCGCAACAACCUCUCCUCUCCUUCUUCCACCUCUCUCUCCCCGUGGUGCCCUAGGAUUUGGAGACAGCGAUCACCGGAUUUUGGACCCCGAGGUGAGCUCCCCUCCCCUCCCCUUCUCUCUCUCUCUCCCUCUCCCUCCUCUUCUUCCCCCCCAGCGCGCGCCCCCUUUCUGCCCCUGCCCGCGCGCGACCCCGACCCCGACCCCACCCCGGCGGCGCUCGCCCGCGGCGGCGCUCGGCCCCGCCCGGCUGCCCUCCCCGGCGGCGCUCGGCCCGCUCGCUCGGCCCCUCCCGCGGCGGCGCUCGGCCUCCCCGCUCGGCCUCCCCGCUCGGCCCUCCCCGCGGCGGCGCUCGGCCUCCCCGCUCGGCCUCCCCGCUCGGCCCCCGCUCGGCCCCUCGCGGCGGCGCUCGGCCCCCCCGCCCGGCCUCCCCUCGCGGCGGCGCCCGCCCCUGCCCCGGCCCCUGCGCGUGGCGCUCGCCCGCCCCGCCCCUCGGUCCGGCCGGCCAUGGUGGCUCGGCGCCCUCCCGCGGCGCGGCGAGCCCCGCUCGCCCGCGCGCCCCCCCGCCCCCGGCUCGGCCGCCCCUGGCCGGUUCAACCGCCCUGGCCCCAGCUCGGCCGUCCGUUCCCCCGUCCCGGCCUCGCCCGACCGUAUCUUCGCUCGCCCGCGCUCGCGGUGAUUAUUCGUUAAUUAGCGUGUUGCGUCGCGCGCUUCGCCGCGCGACGGAUUUGUCUAAAUUCAGAUUCUAUCUUGUGUUGCGUCGUGCGCUUCGUCGCGCGACGAUCCAUUUUUGUUUCAGGUUGUUUAAGGUGUAACGCCGCGUGUGUAUUCACGCGACGUUCCACUUUGGACUCAGUUUAGUCGACGUAUGCCGUCGUGCGCUUCGUCGCGCGACGCUUAACGUCUCCUCUUAACUAAGGCAAAGUGUCUCGUUGCGUGCUCGGUCGCGCGACGAGUCGUUAACUUUUUAAUUUGUUUUAGUGAGCUUUGUCGCGCGUCUCGCCGCGCGACCAUCCUUUUAUUUAUCUCCACCUGCUUAUAAUAAUUAGACAUGAAACAUGACUUUACUUUACACUAAACAUAGUGUCUACAUUAAAUUUCCUUCCAUUAAGCUAGUGGCUAAUUUAUAAUCAUGCAACGUGAUCGUAUCUCGACUGUCCUUUCCUCUUUCUCUCUUAAUCGUACUCGCGAGCCCGCGUGGAACGUCUGUUUACUUAUUGCAUUCUAUUGUAUGGUGUACUGUUCUUUGGUAUUAAAUAUGUGGAUGUGUGUAUGUUUGCGCUCGCAUAGAGAACGAUCCGGUUG